GAUGAACGCUGGCGGCGUGCCUAAUACAUGCGAGUCGAGCGAACGGACGAGAAGCUCGCUUCUCUGAUGUUAGCGGCGGACGGGUGAGUAACACGUGGAUAACCUACCUAUAUGACUGGGAUAACUUCGUGAAACCGUAGCUAAUACCGGAUAAUAUUUUGAACCGCAUGGUUCAAAAGUGAAAGACGGUCUUCCUGUCACUUAUAGAUGGAUCCGCGCUGCAUUAGCUAGUUGGUAAGGUAACGGCUUACCAAGGCAACGAUGCAUAGCCGACCUGAGAGGGUGAUCGGCCACACUGGAACUGAGACACGGUCCAGACUCCUACGGGAGGCAGCAGUAGGGAAUCUUCCGCAAUGGGCGAAAGCCUGACGGAGCAACGCCGCGUGAGUGAUGAAGGCCUUCGGAUCGUAAAACUCUGUUAUUAGGGAAGAACAUAUGUGUAAGUAACUGUGCACAUCUUGACGGUACCUAAUCAGAAAGCAACGGCUAACUACGUG
rnacentral:rRNA from 1 species